rnacentral:tRNA from 1 species
GGGAAUGUGGCUUAGUGGUAGAGUGCUUGCCUAGCAUGCAUGAAGCCCUGGGUUCAAAUCCUCAGUUACCA